rnacentral:rRNA from 1 species
GAUGAACGCUGGCGGCGUGCCUAAUACAUGCAAGUCGAGCGAACAGACGAGGAGCUUGCUCCUCUGACGUUAGCGGCGGACGGGUGAGUAACACGUGGAUAACCUACCUAUAAGACUGGGAUAACUUCGGGAAACCGGAGCUAAUACCGGAUAAUAUAUUGAACCGCAUGGUUCAAUAGUGAAAGACGGUUUUGCUGUCACUUAUAGAUGGAUCCGCGCCGCAUUAGCUAGUUGGUAAGGUAACGGCUUACCAAGGCAACGAUGCGUAGCCGAACUGAGAGGGUGAUCGGCCACCCUGGAACUGGAACACGGUCCAGACUCCUAAGGGAGGCAGCAGUAGGGAAUCUUCCGCAAUGGGCGAAAGCCUGACGGAGCAACGCCGCGUGAGUGAUGAAGGUCUUCGGAUCGUAAAACUCUGUUAUUAGGGAAGAACAAAUGUGUAAGUAACUAUGCACGUCUUGACGGUACCUAAUCAGAAAGCCACGGCUAACUACGUG